GGUUUUUAACCCAGUUACUCAAGGUACGCUGGAGUUUCGACCAUUCGAAAGAGUGUGUUGAACAACUAUAACUUUUGGAACCGCUCUGCUGGGGUUAUCCGGUAGAGCAAA
rnacentral:snRNA from 14 species